AACGAACGCUGGCGGCAUGCCUAACACAUGCAAGUCGAACGAAGGCUUCGGCCUUAGUGGCGCACGGGUGCGUAACGCGUGGGAAUCUGCCCUUUGGUUCGGAAUAACAGCUGGAAACGGCUGCUAAUACCGGAUGAUGACGAAAGUCCAAAGAUUUAUCGCCAGAGGAUGAGCCCGCGUUGGAUUAGGUAGUUGGUGGGGUAAAGGCCUACCAAGCCGACGAUCCAUAGCUGGUCUGAGAGGAUGAUCAGCCACACUGGGACUGAGACACGGCCCAGACUCCUACGGGAGGCAGCAAUGGGGAAUAUUGGACAAUGGGCGCAAGCCUGAUCCAGCAAUGCCGCGUGAGUGAUGAAGGCCCUAGGGUUGUAAAGCUCUUUUACCCGGGAAGAUAAUGACUGUACCGGGAGAAUAAGCCCCGGCUAACUCCGUG
rnacentral:rRNA from 1 species